ACUCAGCAGCUCACCAUACGUACGUACAGACCAAACGCGACUUCCGCGAGCGACACGACUGAUUUGCAUAGAAAGUCAAUGGGGUUGGGCGACUGACGGCGACCAGCGGCGACCAACAUGGCAGCGACACGACUGGGGUGUGCAACGCUACAAGAUUUGAGCUACAUACGGCGACUCCGGCUACUCAAGACGACACAACUGGGGUACAGCGACAGUCGCAGAAGUUCACCACCUGCGGAGCGUUGACCAAUCAGAGACCAGAUCCGCGAGUGACGUGUCCCGGCGGAGGAGAAGCAAAUCGCUGCGGUUGUUUACAAGCAGACUUUCCGCCGUCCUGAGAGUGGCUCAAAUCGUGCAUUUUUUAAUUUCCACCGGAACAUAAAUAGGAAGAAUCUUGUCCGGAGGGAAAGUUCGCCACAACGGUGGCGUUCCUGAUGAGACGUCCUGAAGGGUCUGUUUAUAUGAGGGGAGGACGGUGACCGAGGAGCGGAGUGGUCAGCGGCAUCUACUGUAGUGCCGUGAAGUGACCGUUCUUCACCGUCCUCUCUCUUCUGGAGCCCUUCAUCUCCAAGAGAGACCUCGGCCAACAUGACUGGAGAGGCAGCAGCAGCUGCAGCAAGGUAGCAGGAGAGGAGGAGGAUGGAUCCACUCAUGAUGUUGGUGAUGAUGAUGAGGAGGAGGAUGGACCUUCCUCUGCCUCACCUGGUGCUGCUGCGUCUCCUCCACCUGCCACUGUCCCCUCCUCAUCCACUGCUGCUCCUGAUGACACUGAAGGAAGAGAGCUACAGAGGAAGGGGUCCCCCGAUGCUGAAGCUGAGCUCAAACAUCUACUAAUGUACUCCCUCCACACACCCAGCUCAGAAGAAGGGACAGUUUUCAAGGUCCUCGUUCCUUCCAGGUUCCACAUAAAUUUAAAAUGUACAUGUUACUUUACCAAGCAAAACAACAGCUGACUGAAAUCAUUUGGACCCUUCAUUUAUUUUCUUUGUAGCCACAGUUUCAUUAAGGAACCGGAUGCCGCCCCACUUCCUCCGCCUCUCUUGACCCUCGUCCCUCUGAGGAAGAUCCUUCAAAACACACCUACGUAGUUCACUUCAAGUUUGACUGUGAUUCUGUGUGUAUUGAAUGAGUAUAAAUGAAUGGGGUUACUUUAUUUUUGCAAAUAAAGUGUUUGACA